GGUCAUGAGUGACAGCUGUAGGCCCUGGCUGGCUGUCCGGCAACCCUCCUUCCGUGGCGGGGUGCCCCAGGUGACGACCCGGCCGGGCGACGUGCCCGGCAAGUGCGGAGC
rnacentral:ncRNA from 2 species